rnacentral:rRNA from 1 species
GAUGAACGCUGGCGGCGUGCUUAACACAUGCAAGUCGAACGAAGCACUUUACUUGAUUUCUUCGGAAUGAUUGUUCUGUGACUGAGUGGCGGACGGGUGAGUAACGCGUGGGUAACCUGCCUCAUACAGGGGGAUAACAGUUGGAAACAACUGCUAAUACCGCAUAAGCGCACAGUACUGCAUGGUACAGUGUGAAAAACUCUGGUGGUAUGAGAUGGACCCGCGUCUGAUUAGCUAGUUGGUGGGUAACGGCCUACCAAGGCGACGAUCAGUAGCCGACCUGAGAGGGUGAUCGGCCACAUUGGGACUGAGACACGGCCCAGACUCCUACGGGGA